GGGGAUCCUUGCAGGUGGGAGUCGAGAGCAUUUCCUAGCGCCCAAGCCAUGGUGGCCAAACAGCGGAUCCGGAUGGCUAACGAGAAGCACAGCAAAAACAUCACCCAGAGAGGGAACGUAGCCAAAACCCUGAGGCCGCAAGAAGAGAAAUAUCCUGUGGGACCAUGGCUGUUGGCACUGUUUGUUUUUGUUGUCUGUGGCUCAGGUUGACCACAUAAACACUGGCCUUUCCUGGAGACCACCAGAACUAUCUGGAAAUUGUGACACCUAGAGGGAGUCACACCCCCCGAGAUUGGCAAAUGGGAUGUUUGAGGAACUGCUCUGGAACUCCUGCCUCAGGAUCUGAGAUGGACAAUGUGGAGAAGAUGUCUCAUCAGCCAUUGGCUCCCUCAAGCUAUCUUUCAGAUCAUUCAGAGCAUAAGGAUGGGCAUGUGAGAGGCCCGGGGAUUUGCCACUGCCCCCUCCCGCCGGAGGCUAGAGGACCACUUAAGCUCUUAGCCGGGUAUCUGUGGGAAGCAAACCAGCCACACAGAAUAGAAAAAAGGCUCCCUCGAUUGUUCCCUGAUCACUCCAUCGUGGAUGUCAGACCAAAUUGCCUCUCACAGGACAUCUUGGUACAUCCGUGUUCUCAAGCGGAAAGGACAUUUUGCUUUUCUGUUGGCAGAAUCGGGAGCUCCCGGGUGUCUGGGUUUCUCCCUCCGUUUCACUAAUGUCUGCACGUGGCCCUGAGUUAUCACUGGUUUACUUUCUAUGGAUACAGUCUCUCCUCCACUGGGAAUUGGUUUUACAAAUAAAUGUCUUUG